CAGCGCUUCAGCGGCGCCCACGCACCGGGGGCAGCUGCCCGCCGAGCCCCGAGCAGCGCCGGCAGCAACAGCAGCGCCGGCAGCGCCAACAGCGGCAGCAGCGGCAGCAUGGCUGCGCGGGGCGGAGUGCCGAACGCGGUUGUGUCAUGGAAGGACUGAAAACUGUCUAAAAAUGGGAGAUGUGUCACAAUGCUAUCGCCCUGCAACUGCACAGCACAGCAGAGUGCUGCAAAUGAAACUGGAUUUUCAGGACUAUAUCCAAAAGUAGAGGCCAGACUGACAUCUGUAGUGUGAGACCCAGACAUGCCUGCUCUGCAAGAAACCUCAAAUCUAGAAGAAAAUUUCUUGAUUUUAGCCUAUAUUUAAGUUACCUGUAAUAAUAUGUGAUGUUUCUUUAAAAACUUGUCAAAUAACUGCUUUGUCUGUACACCUUGCCUCCCUGUAUUUGCAUCUGGAGAGAAUUUGUUUGCCAGUGUCCUAUGGUCAGUGUGAUUAAUGCAAUUCUGGAUGCCCCUGGUCUGCAGAAAUAAGUGAUGCACCAUCCAGUGGACAAAUUCAUUAGUUACACUAUGCUGACAAGUUAUUAAACAUCAAUUCCCCCAAAAUCAAUUGCAAAACUUCUACUGAAUUAGAAGCUCUCAGCGAUAAAGUAUGUGUGGGAACUGCUGAAGUAUACAGCCUCCUGGGCAUGACAACAUGCAGAGUCCUGUCUAGUUGAUACCGCGAAAAAACCCCAAUGCCAUACCUAACUUUUUCAUAACUUCUGGGUAACUGAUGUAUAAGCCAUCCUGAGAUAAAAGCACAAGGAAAACAAUGUGUCUCAAUUUUCUCAAGGCUUACACUCACUAUAAUCAGCAUUGCACACACGCAUACACUCCCCAAUGCUUUUCUUAAUUUUAUUUCUAGGUAAAUGAUGUAUUAAUUAUGUUAAGAUAAAACAUGGAGGGAGAAGGAUUUUGGAACAAGAUCACCUCCUAUGUUUUGUAUCUGUACAGGUUUAUGUACAUUCAUUUGAGUGGUAGAGAUUGGCAUCAACUAACUAAUUUCUUUUAGUGUGUGAAAUCCAGCUGUUGAGAAUAAGGAAACUACACACAAAACCAAGCUGUUCUGAAGUCACUAAUAUUUCAGCACAGAAGCAGAAGAAAAUGCAAACAUAAAAGUAGAAACACACAGAGAUAUGUGGACAGAUGUGUUUUAUUGUACUUACCAGCACUUGCAACCCCUCGCGCUUGCUGUCCAUGUCCCACUAGAUGGUGUUCAUGCUACAGGAAAAAAAACAGGAUGCAGAAGUGUGCCGAGCUGUCAUAAUUUGUCAUCUUUCACCUUUUUUAUCUUCAUGCAUUUUGAAUGUAUCAUCAGCUCGCAUACUGCAAUCUUUGCUAUUUUGCAUCUCAUUUUUAAAGCUACUGGGCAUACAUUUUCCCUAAUACCACAGUGAAAAAUUCUGAAUGAGUGGCAUGUAGUAGUGUUUCCAUGUAAAGUAAUUUAUCUAAUUUUGCUGCUGAUGCUGAAGCCUGGGUUGAAUGAAUUUAGUUAACGACCAUGGAAUUAUUUCAGUGCUGAAUCACCUCCUGAGACUCCCUGAAGGGGGCUGUAAUGAAAUGUCAUCAUGAAAGUGUGUGUAGACGUGAAGC